AUAGCGUAUAUUAAAGUUGUUGCAGUUAAAAAGCUCGUAGUUGAACCUUGGGUCUGGCUGCUCGGUCCGCCUAACCGCGUGCACUGAUGCGGCCGGUCCUUUCCUUCUGGCUAACCUCAUGCUCUUAAUUGGGUGUGUUGGGGAUCCAGGACUUUUACUUUGAAAAAAUUAGAGUGUUCAAAGCAGGCCUAUGCUCGAAUACAUUAGCAUGGAAUAAUAGAAUAGGACGGCGGUUCUAUUUUGUUGGUUUCUAGAGCCACCGUAAUGAUUAAUAGGGAUAGUUGGGGGCAUUAGUAUUCGGUUGCUAGAGGUGAAAUUCUUGGAUUUAC
rnacentral:rRNA from 1 species